CGGACGGGUGAGUAAUGUCUGGGAAACUGCCCGAUGGAGGGGGAUAACUACUGGAAACGGUAGCUAAUACCGCAUAACGUCGCAAGACCAAGGAGGGGGACCUUCGGGCCUCUUGCCAUCGGAUGUGCCCAGAUGGGAUUAGCUAGUAGGUGGGGUAACGGCUCACCUAGGCGACGAUCCCUAGCUGGUCUGAGAGGAUGACCAGCCACACUGGAACUGAGACAUGGUCCAG
rnacentral:rRNA from 1 species